rnacentral:lncRNA from 1 species
GCAGAGCUGAGCACUUCCUCCUCUUUAGCCCUACGCAGCAGCACAGUUCUCCUGUCCCGACUGCAGACACUCCUGCAGAGGCAGCAGAGCCCUGCAGACGUCUCCUCUAAAGCAGAACUAAGGAGAAAGUGGAUCUCCUUGGGGACAUGGCUGUUGCCUUGUUCUGAAAUCCCUCGCCCAUCUGACAGCACGGCUCACACAGAAAUCAGAGUUUCAGAUUAGCGAUCCCACAGUUUCAGUGCCUUCCUAAUGGAGAGUGCACCAGGUGCAGACCUC